UCCUCUCUUCAUGCCGAGAGCUGCAGUGGAAACAAACAGAGAGAAUUGGAGGGAAAAGACGUUUUCAUCCUCUUUCUUUCUCUCAUUUGUUUUUGUCCUUCUCUUUUCUGUUCUCUGAGGUUUUCAGUCGGAUGAGAGAUGGGAUGUGGAAAUUCCUCUCCAGCCACUAACAACAGCAGCAGCAGCAGCACAGGAGGUCGGGCUGAGUCUUCAUUAAAGGCAUCAAAUGAGUCUUUGGCUGAAGACGACAAACGGAAAAACUACGGAGGUGUGUAUGUGGGUUUACCUACAGACCUGAGCAACGUCCCUCAAGUACAGAUAGGAUCACUCAGAGAGACCGGCAGAGACUCGUCGUCCCUCAGGAAACCGCUGUGGGGGAACGGACUGUGAUUUUAAUGAAGAGCCAGG